GCGAUGGGCUCCGAAGCUAACGCGAUAAAUCGACCGCCUGGGGAGUACGGCCGCAAGGUUAAAACUCAAAUGAAUUGACGGGGGCCCGCACAAGCGGUGGAGCAUGUGGUUUAAUUCGAUGCAACGCGAAGAACCUUACCUGGUCUUGACAUCCACAGAAUCUUGUAGAGAUACGAGAGUGCCUUCGGGAACUGUGAGACAGGUGCUGCAUGGCUGUCGUCAGCUCGUGUUGUGAAAUGUUGGGUUAAGUCCCGCAACGAGCGCAACCCUUAUCCUUUGUUGCCAUCGGUUAGGCCGGGAACUCAAAGGAGACUGCCGUUGAUAAAGCGGAGGAAGGUGGGGACGACGUCAAGUCAUCAUGGCCCUUACGACCAGGGCUACACACGUGCUACAAUGGCGUAUACAAAGAGAAGCGAGCUCGCGAGGGUAAGCGGACCUCAUAAAGUACGUCUAAGUCCGGAUUGGAGUCUGCAACUCGACUCCAUGAAGUCGGAAUCGCUAGUAAUCGUAGAUCAGAAUGCUACGGUGAAUACGUUCCCGGGCCUUGUACACACCGCCCGUCACACCAUGGGAGUGGGUUGCACCAGAAGUAGAUAGCUUAACCUUAGGGAGGGCGUUUACCACGGUGUGAUUCAUGACUGGGGUGAAGUCGUAACAAGGUAACCGUAGGGGAACCUGCGGUUG
rnacentral:rRNA from 1 species